UUUGUAAGUCAACAAUGGGCGUGAGAGAAGCAAUCAGGGGCAGGAGUGGCCUAAGCGUUAGCCCAAAAUCCGAAAAUGUCGCAGUGAAAAACUUGUGGAAAGGACUUGCGGCCAAGAGGCACAACGGGCAAGGACUUCACGAACUGCAAAAGUGAAGAAAAAUUGUGGAAAACUUUGGCUGAUUUCGCCCAGUGCGCUUCAUUUAUUUCAACGAUUUGUUGCCGGGACAGGCCAGGAGAAAAAGCAGAACCAGAACCAGGAGCAGGAGCAGAAGCAGGAGCAGGAUUGUGUCCAAAGAGCAGCUGUUUUACUUCUUGAUGGGUCCGCAGAAGCACCCAACAGAGAAAUCCCCUCCAGAAAUGCCCCCUGCCUCACAUUCUGACUUUAUCGCUUGACAUAAUUAGAUCCACGCAACUAAGGCUGCAACUUUCCAAGAACAUCUACAGCCAUACAAUUUGGCCUAAUUGGACUCGGAAAAUAAUGGCAGACUGCAAGGCAGCAAUGAAUCAAAGGAUUUUAUCACGAGACAACUAUGUGUGCUGUGUCUUUAGUAUGACAAGUCGGUGACAAGGUCCUGGUUCUUGAUUGAUUCAGUACUGCCGAGGUACUUCUAUUGGCUAUCACAGUGAUUGAUUCGGUAGUAAAAAGGUAUUUUUGCGCUGACCCAGUUUGCGGCGCAUUCAAUAUUGAACAUUUCGAAAUAUAGUUCUUCACAGGUAAGAAGUAUAUGUGCUUCUUGUUUAAGAUUAUCUCUUUGCAUACCGUGUAGCCAAUUUUUUUGUACUGAAAGAUUUUCAUCUGAAAAACAAGCUUAUUCUGUAGCACAUGGCCUUGCCAAUCCAACCCGAGGAUGUAGCUCAGAAGUCCAACUGAAAAAGUCCAAGAGGUGGGUAUCCGGUAGUCGCAAUACUACCCUGCGGCUAUCCUUUAGCCCGGCAGUGCUGUUGUUGCCCAACGCAGCGUAUUAAGCCCGUAAACAAGUCUACAAGCAAUGACUCCGGUUAAGGCAGCGCCAAGGGCUACGGAUACGGCUCCGAAAACGACUACGGGGAGAGAGCCAGAGGCUGUGGCUCCUACUGGGCUGCAGCCCUGAGCAUGAUUUGUUGCUGACAGCGUCUCAGGCAGCAGGAGCAGCAGCAGAAGCAGCAGGAGCAGCAGCAGGAGGAGCAGCAGCAUUGGCCGGAGUCGAGGCUGGGUUUGAUUUAUUUCUCGUUGUACAAUUUAUGAGUGAAGGUGAAGCGGCAGCAACAACAGCACCAACAGCACCACAACAUCCGGCCCAAGGAUCCCUCCAUCGGCCGGACGCACGGCCGGGCUCAGCUCUUGCAAUUCAUUGGGCUGAACCCGAGAAGCGUCCUUCCAAAGGGGUCAUGUUCCGGAAUCCGACAGAGGCAGUGGGCUGAGUCCUGGUACGGGGACUGUGAAUGUGACUGUCAGGCAGCGCGUGUUUUAGAUGCGUAAGAUUCCCCAAAAGAUUUGCGAAAUGCCGGGGGGAAAAGAAAAGCGGGCACCACGACAUGCUUACGCCCAUGUACCCAGCUACUCCGCCCUUCUGGCCCCCCGUUUUUUAAACCCUCUCCUUUUCGCCGGAUUGUGAUGGAUGCUCGCCUACUUUGGGCUUUGGGCUCCAGGCUGUGCGGUUUGCGAAGAUGUUCCAUCUUCUCGCUGGAGCCACCAGCCACAAGCAGUCCUUGCGUGCAGACCCAUUAGCGGCUGGGAACGUCUUUUAUUUCAAUUACCACCACCUUAUGCAAAAUUCAGCGAACACUUGGCAAUAAGGAGAUGCGUUAUGCGGCGUGUUUCAUCCUUGCGAGUCCUCCUUACCCGGCCAUUACUCAUUGUGUUGCCUGCUUGGCGGCGCCUUUGAAGCACUUGGAAUUGUCACUGGAGUCCCUGCAUUCAGGUACUUACUGCCAAGAUAUCCCAUUGUGGCAACAAACUUUGUCCGAGAACUUCGCCUGUAAUUGCCGUCAGACAGUGAAGCGUGGAGUGUGGAGUGUGAAUUAUGCACGCCUCAAAUGUUUCAAUUACCCUGCUCCAGGCACACCUGUCGUCGCACUUUCCCUUCCCUUCCCGAAAAAAGUGAAAGUGUUCCGGCUUUGAUGCUUCGUUGCCCGGGAAGCAGGGAGGUUGCAAAGUAUGUACUGAUGACCCGACCUGACCUUAUCGUAUUUCAAUUACCGCUGACACCCACAACGCACCGCCCCGGCAAUUAAGCGGCAUAAUCCGGGUCGCAGGAUGUCGGAGGCGGAAUUGAAUUCGCCGAAGGGAGACGUCCACAUUCAUAUCGCCAUCAAUCAUUGGACGAGAAAAUGAAAUUGCAACCGAUUCAUCAUAAUUAAUCUAGAUCUCGCCUAUCUAUUAUUAAGAUUAAACAUUUAUUUACAUUCGUUA